ensembl:lncRNA
UGUUUCAUGUGGCCUUUCUAUUGCAGAUAGUAUUCAUUCAGCCAUUUAAAUGCCGUUCUAGGUGCUGAGGAUAUAGUACUGAACAAGACAAAGCCUCUAGCUUUGUGGAGCUCAUAUUCUAACUUGGGGAGAUAAAAAAUAAAUACAUUCAAAAUUGAGGAUGUAACAUGGUGCUAAAUGCUGUGGAGAAAAAUAAAGCAAGGCAAGAGAGAUAGAAAAUGCAGGGCAGGUGUUGCUAGUUUAUUAAUCUAUUGGUGGUCAGGAAGGUCUCACAACAAAGCAACAUUUGACAAAGACCUGAGUGGAGAAGGAAGUGUGGGAAUAAACCAUAGAGAUAGAAAAAGGAAAAGAUUCAAGUUAGAGGGAAGGCAAAGGAAUUCACAUUUCUUUUGACUUGUUGUUUUCAAUACAACUAUUAACAUACUGAAAUAUUUCUAAAUAAGUCUGCUCACCUGUGUUUUAAAUAUUUUUGGAAGUGGUAUGAAUGGAUUGCCUUUGCCCAGACAUGCUUGUGACUAUGCAACUGGAACAAGCUUGCAACUUUCUUUCACAAAGUCCUUCUGGUCUAUGGAAGCAUAUAUUAAGUAUAGGCUCUGGAGUCAGAUCACAUGUAAGAAAAGCCCUAGCUCUACUCUGUGUACUGUUUGUAUAAUUUAAGACAAUUUACUACCCUAUUCUAUGCCCCAGCUCCCAAAUGUGAAGGUGAUCAUUGUAGGUAGAUUUUCAACCAGUACACAUCAAUGCUUUGCUGUUCUGAUUGGUUGGCCAUUCAGUUGUUAAUUAUUUUCAAUAUCAUCCUUAGAUAGAGUUAUUUACCUCCUAGGAGUCAUUGUGAUUAGGAAAUGAAGUGCUCAUUCUUACUAUAUUUAUUAUUAGCAUAUUUAUCAUUAUUAUUAUAGUCUAAAUCAAGGGUCAGCAAAUUAUGAGGACCAAACCUAGGACUUCCAUCUUUAUAAUCUCUGUAAAUAAAGUUUUACUGGAAUAUGGCUAUGCCAACUUAUUUAUGUAUUGUCUAUGGCUGUUGUCACACUACAAAGGCAGAGUUCAUUGGUGGAGAUGGACUGUUCCUUUUCAGAACAAGUUUGGUGACCCUUGGCCUAAAUGGAGAUGGAAUCCUACUUUAGCUUUAUCCAAACUUGGUCUAAAUAGCUCUGCUUUGUACCAAAAUAUUACCAUUUACAACCAGUUCUUUAUAGUCAAGAAAGGAGUUGUGCUUUGCCAACCUUCUGAGGACAAGGUGCUAGGGACCUACCUGGAAGUUAAAGAACUUCUCUUCCAAUCCUAAGUUGAGAGUGUUGAGGAUAGGGGUUCUCAGUGAGUUCUUAGAUCAAAUUUCCAGAAACAAAAAGCCACUUAUGGAUCUGUGAUGUUCCCGUAUACAAUGUUAAGCACUAGUCCAUACACUUUCUGUUUUCUCCUCUCUUUCUAGUCUCCUAUUCCCAUGUCAGCCUUUUCUUUACAAAACUGGAUCAAGGCAGAGGAGAGGGGUAUUUCCAGAGCAGUCAUUUUCAUUGCUAACUUGAGUGGGGCUCAGUGUCAGAUUUACUCUUCAGAGCAUCUUAAUUCUUCAAAAAGUUAUUUGAGCCUUAGUUUUAAUUUUGCUUCUUUAGAACGAGUAAGUGCUUUAGAAAUUUGUCUGUUUAAAAUGAGUUCAUUGGAAGUUCCCUGUGGCUCAGGUAGCAAUUUUGGCAUUGAUUUGAUCUCUGGCCCAGGAACUUCCACAUGCUGCAGGUGUGGCCAAAAACAAACAAACAAACAAACAAACAAAAACUUAAAUAGUUGAUUUACUUCAUUUUUAUUUCUUUAAAAAAUGAGCCAUGACGGGACCUCCUAAAUUUUCUUAUUUUUAAAUAUUUUCCCAUGUUAGUCCCUAUGGCUAACAUGGUUCUGUCGUAGCCUUGAACCUACUAUUCAAUAAAUAGGACUCAGUAUCUCUUUGGUUCCCGGGAUGAUUCCAUCAGGAUCAAGUAUUGAUAUUUACUGAAGAUUUUGUAAUAUAGAAGAGAGUUUCCCACUGUAUAGUCCAUAGCACUUUAUAUAUUUCCUUCAGGUGGGCCUUGUGAUGGCUAAUUUUAUGUGUUGACUUUUCUGGGCCAUGAGGUGCCCAGAUAUCCAGUUAACAUUAUUUCUAGGUGUGUCUGUGAUGGUGUUUCCAGAAGAGAGUAGCAGGUGAAUCCCUAGACUGAAUAAAUUAGAUUGCCCUCUCCAAUUAAAUAAUCUUAUUGUUCUAGAACAAUAAGAAUAAGGUGAAGGAAGGGAGAAUUUGCUCUCUUUGUCUGAUUACUUGAGCUUGACAUUCUUACUGUCCUGCCCUGCGACUAGAAUUUGCUCCAUUGGCUCUCUGGCUCUCAGGCCUUUGAAACUAUACUAAAAUGUAUACCAUCCAGUCUCCCAAGGCAAUAGAAAUAAAAACAAAAAUAAACAAAUGAGACCUAAUCACACUUACAAGCUUUUGUGCAGCAGAGGAAACCAUAAAAAAACAAAAAAACAAAAGAAUAAAAAGACAACCUACAGAGUGGGAGAAAACAUGUGCAAAUGAUGCAACCAAAAACGGCUUAAUCUCCAAAAUAUACAAACAACUCAUACAACUCAACAACAACAAAAAAAUAAACAAUUCAAUCGAAAAGUAGACAGAAGACCUGAAUAGACAUUUCUCCAUAGAAGACACAUGGAUGGUGAGUAGGCACAUGAAAGGAUGCUCAACAUCGCUAAUUAUUAGAGAAAUGCAAAUGAAAAGGUACCACCUCACACUGGUAAGAAUGGUCAUCAUUAAAAAAUCUCCAAAAACAAAUGCUACAGAGGGUGUGGAGAAAAGGGAACCCCUCUAUACUGUUGAUGACAAUGUAAGUUGGUAUAACCACUGUGGAAAACAGUAUGGAGAUUCCUCAGAAAACUAAAAA